rnacentral:rRNA from 1 species
CAGCACCUCAAGUGGUCAGGAUGAUUAUUGGGCCUAAAGCAUCCGUAGCCGGCGCUGUAAGUUUUCGGUUAAAUCUGUACGCUCAACGUACAGGCUGCCGGGAAUACUGCAGCGCUAGGGAGUGGGAGAGGUAGACGGUACUCGGUAGGAAGGGGUAAAAUCCUUUGAUCUAUUGAUGACCACCUGUGGCGAAGGCGGUCUACCAGAACACGUCCGACGGUGAGAGAUGAAAGCUGGGGGAGCAAACCGGAUUAGAUACCCGAGUAGUCC